GUCAGCCACAGUCACAAAUCUUGCACUCUGUCGCAAAAAGAAAAAGCCAGGUGGACCAAAGCUUAUACCUGAUAAGAAAAAAGCUUAAAAGGAGGCAAAGCAGACAUUUUGGUGGACUGGGAGCCCUGUCCAGUAUGUGAUGAGAUUUGGACCCAUCCCUGGCAGCCAAAGGAUUCUCUCCAAAUUAAUUAAAAUAAUUAAAUAAAAAUUGUAUUACACUAAAA